AGUGCAGAGUCUUAGCCACAGGCCACCCCGGAAGUGCCAGUUUUUUCCUGUCUUUCUUUUAUUUGCUUCCCUCCCUUUCUGCCCCUUUCUUGCCUCUGUUUCCUUCCUUCCUGACCCCGAGCAGCUGCCAUCUGCCUCCCCUGGACACCACCCAGCCUGGCACAGUCUCUGCCAGUUCCUCCGUCAUCACGGCUGGUUCCCGGUGCCCCCGGACAGGGAGUGCCAGCCUCCACCCCGCCUCCCGCCCGCUCCGCCUCGAAGCGGCAGGUGGCAGAGGCCCGGAGCCAGGGCCGGGGCCAGCCUGGAGGGAAGCCAGGCCUGUGGGGAGCUGCGUGACGUGCCCACACCCGCCCCUGACGUCCGAUGCCCGCCUCGUGAGCUCCGUGCCCCGCUCAGCGGCUUCACUGUGACGCCAAGUCAGCCUCUGCUCCCGGGGAGGCGCUUGACAGUAGGGACCCCGCCGCUCUUCCCAGAGCGUGCGCUGGUCUUUGGAUGCAGGAGGUUUCAUGGAGCUUUCAGGAGGUGCGCCUGGAUCGGGAGAUGGUGGUCACGGCCACAGGAGACCAGACACUUCAGGACUCAGGGGAGCUCAUUUACUGACCCGUCCUCCCCAGCUCUCUCAGCUGGCCCAGAGUCCAGGCUGGGGAGCCCCAGGCUGCUCAGGCCCCAGGAAUGUCACAAAAGCCUGGUCAUUGAGGAGUCCUUGUAAUAUAUGUUCAUUUCUUUUCUUUUUAGAUUUAAUUUGUCUUUUUAAGUUGGAAUAUAGUACUUUAUCAUGCUGUAUUUCUUUUGAGUGUACAAGAACCUGACUCACUUAUACAUACACACAUAGCUAUCUUUUCAGAUUCUUCUCCCCUAUAGGUUAUUAUGGAGUGCUGAGUAGAGUUCCCUUUGCUAUGCAGUAGGUGCUUGUUGAUUAUCGAUUUCAUGCAUAUUACUAUGUUUACAUUAAUCCCAACCUCCUAGUUUAUUCCUGCCCCCUCCCCUGCCUUUCCCCUUUGGGAACCAGGAGUUUGUUUUCUAAGUCUGUGAGUCUGUUUUGUAAAUGGGUGCAUGUGUAUGGAUACUUCGACUCCACUCGUAAGCGGUAUCGCAGGCUGUCUGUCCGUCUCUGACUGACUACACUUGGUAUAAUCAUCUCUAGGUCCAUCCGUGUCGCUGCACAUGGCAUUAUUUCAUCCUUUUUAUGGCUGAGUAAUAUUCCAUUGUAUAUCUGUAGCACACCUUUAUCCAUUCAUCUGUCAAUGACCAUUUAGGUUGCUUCCCCGUCUUGGCUGCACAAGGCAUAUUAAUAUACUAAUGCUCUGAGAAAUCCCACAGCAAAGCAAUCUGUUUGCAUCUGCUUAAUCUGAUUUCCCAAACGCGGGUGCCCAUGGAAUUUUUUUUCAUAUCACUCCAAAUGAUAAUUCAAUGAAACCCACUUUGAGACAUCCUGCUCUACACCAAGUCUAGACUGCAGAUUCUGGUGCCUGAAAAUAGUCUAGGAAUGCUCUAAUUAAUGCUUUCUUCUCCUACUGAGUUCUUUGCCCAUUUCAGUUCAGUUCAGUUCAGUCACUCAGUCAUGUCUGACUCUUUGUAUCCCCAUGGACUGCAGCAUGCCAGGCUUCCCUGUUCAUCACCAACUCCCAGAGCUUACUCAAACUCAUGUCCAUUGAGUCGGUGAUGCCAUCCAACCAUCUCAUCCUCUGUCAUCCCCUUCUCCUCCUGCCUUCAAUCUUUCCCAGCAUUAGGAUCUUUUCCAAUGAGUCGGUUCUUCGUAUCAGGUGGCCAAAGUAUUGGAGUUUCAGCUUCAGCAUCAGUCUUUCCAAUGAAUAUUCAGAAUGGAUUUCCUUUAGGAUGGACUGAUUUGAUCUCCUUGCAAUAAAAGAGUCUUCUCCAACACCACAGUUCAAAAGCAACAAUUCUUCGGCACUCAGCUUUCUUUACGGUCCAACUCUCACAUCCAUAUGUGACUACUGGAAAAACCAUAGCUUUGACUAGAUAGACCUUUGUUGUUAAAGUAAUGUCUCUGCUUUUUAACAUGCUGUCUAUGUUGGUCAUAGCUUUUUUUCCAAGGAGCAAACGUCUUUUAAUUUCAUGACUGCAGUCACCACCUGCAGUGAUUUUGGAGCCCCCCAAAAUAAAGCCUCUCACUGUUUCCAUUGUUUCCCCAUUUAUUUGCCAUGAAGUGAUAGGACCAGAUGUGAUCUUCGUUGCCCAUUUAAUUUCUCCCAAAAUUCAGGGCUGGUUUUACAGGAGUUAAAGUAGACAGUUGCUGAUUCGCUUGAAAUUCAGGAACAGUAGAUGAUGAUAUCGACAAAUGCAUACACAGUCAUCACUACAUGUCAAGUAUUUUUCUAAGAAGUUUUUGUACAUUAACCAGUUUAGUCAUCAUGACUACCCUGUGAGGUAAGCACUGCUAUUACGCCCAUUUUAUAAACAUGGAAACUGAGGCACAGAGCCACUUGUUCGAGGUCACACAGAUAGUGGCUGAGCUAGGACUCAAACCAGGCGAUCUGGAUCCAGGGUCCAGACUCUUGACCACCAUAUUAUACUCCCUCUCAGAUGAGACAGUUGCUUUGGUUCCCUGAAAUUCUAUUAUUCAUUCAUUUCUUCAGUAUUAUAGGAGACUGUGCUCUUCCAGAACUUCAUUGGAAAAACUCAGGGCCAAGAAGCUUUCCCAGAAAUCGUGAAGAGCUGUCUUAACACAGGUAUGGUCCAGACCACCUCGCGUUUUGCUGUAAUCGCUUUGCAUACGCAUCUAUGACAUUCUCAAUUGCAGAAACUUUGUUUCAGGCACUGUGCUGGGCAUUAAAUGACCGGCAUGUGAAUGAGAUAUGGUCCCAGAGCUCGGAGAGUCCCCGAGGCUUCUGUAACUCUUUCUGAUAGACACAUUUGAAAUUUAAUACCAGGGCUUGAGAGCUACAAGCUUAAAGCUCUAAGAGCAAAGGGUUAUAUGUGAGCACAGAGGACAGAACAAUUACUUCUGAUCAGAAGAGGGUGAUAUUUGAGCUGAGGGUAAAGGAAGAUUUCAAUAGGAGAAUGAAUGAGUGAAUUCCUUAGGAAAAGAAAUGGUUUGUGUUAUUUUUAUGGUACAAAAAUGAAAAGAAUUAGACUUGGCGCUGUAUUCACAGGGCCUGGCCUUAGUCCUGCAACUUCAAGCAAAUCAUUUUUCUGCACAGCAGUUUAUCCAUCUGUAAAAUUGGACUAGUAACCACUGAUUUCCCAGGAUUUCUUUUAAGACUUAAAUAAAGCUAUGUCUGGAAAAGUUCUUUGCUUGAAAUGCUAAGUGCCAUAAAGAUAUUAGGUAUAAUUAUGCUUCUUAAUUUCUCUUGUACUUCGUCUCUUAAGAACUCAAUACAAUGCAGAACAUUACUGAGUGCUUGUUCAGAGGCAGACACCAUUCUCUGUACUUCCUGGAUACUGUUUCAUUGGCCGUCCCAACAAUCCUAUAAGGUGGGUCGUAUCCAUAUGCCCAUUCUCCAGAUGAGGAAAAUAAGGCAUAGAGAGCUUCAGCUGCCUUGCUCAGGUCACACAGCUCUUAACUACUGGGGCCCAGAUUCAAACUCAGGUGGUAUUCAAACUCAGCACCUCUGAGCAGAGGCUAAAGAUGCUGUUAGUCAGGCCCGCUUAGGA
ensembl:lncRNA